AUGUUGCUGUCUCCUACUGUAGGUGAUGCUCGUCCCACCCUGACGGUGCUGCCUCCCUCCAGGGAGGAGCUGCAGCAGGAGAAGGUCACGCUCACGUGUCUGGCCAACAAGGGCUUCCCCUCAGACUGGACUCUGUCCUGGAAGCUGGACGGCAGCGGCAGCAUCAGCAGCUCUGACCAGAGCAGGAGCCCUGGGGUUCUGGAGAAGGACGGACUCUACAGCUGGAGCAGCACCAUGAGGAUCCCUGCAGACCAGUGGACCAAGGUGAACUCUGUGACCUGUGAGGCCUCCCAGGGCUCCCAGUCUCCAGUCAGAGAGACGCUGAGCACAGACCAGUGCUCCCAGUUCUGAACUGUGUUUCAUUUGUUCUCUGGUUCUGCUUUUGUUCUCAGUCUUUGUUUCUACCUUUUCAGAAAUAA